rnacentral:misc_RNA from 1 species
GGGGCGUGGCAACUGAUGAAGGCAACGGUGACUCGCCAGCUGUGGAGUCGCGGCUUGCGUCUGCCACGUGUCUCUUCAGCUGUCCCUGCUAACCUAUCGCACUGGGAUGGCCUGCCACGCACCAUGACGGGUGCCGCUGCCAGUGCGGCACCCGCAGCACGCGCUCGCACGACCGCGUCUCUCACCUCCCCCUUCAUUUGCCUGCGCCGCUUCUUCUGGAACCCCUUCGCGUCGGGCACUAGAGGCUCCGUCUCCGCAACGCGCGACUCCGUUCAGCGCCUAAAUGCCGAGCAGGACGCUUCAAUAGCGGAAAAGGCGCACCGUGACGCCGACCUUGAAAACGAGCAGCUUCUUGGCGCGUGCCUGGACCUGCUCGAUAUGUGCAGCGGCAACGCGGCCGGUUCAGCGCCAUCCAGCGCGCUCGAUGAGCUUGCACGUGAUCGCAUCUGGGAGCUAGUGGACGUUCUCCUGCACGACCACCACCGCGCCCCGGCGGAGCAGUUCGACCUGGUCUACACCGCGCUGUGCAUGCCGGCCGCGCAGGAUCACCGGCAGGUGCAGCGGAGCCUGCUGUUGGUCCUUCGCUCCGUUGUCCCGGAGACACUCUACCGCGUUUUCGAGAGCGUGGAUCUCUUUGUGGUGCGGGAUGAUGAGCAGUCGCUGCACCAGCGUGACGCGCUGAUGAAGUUCGCACAUGCCCAGCUUGGCGAUCUUCACGUGCCGGACGGUUUGGCGGAGGAGGAGGUGCUCUCCGUGUACGUGGACGACAUAAAGACAGCGUUUCCGGUUCUCGCCACCUGUCCUGCGUGGCAAGUGGUGGAGCGCGAUGCCACGACGAUCGCCUUGAAGUCUAAGCUCUUCGCACUGCUCGGCCGCCUGUGUGCCGAGUUCGACGAGGAAAAGACGGGCAAGGUGAAGCUGGCGGAUCUGCGCUCCACGGCGGAGCGCGUCCUGGGGACGGACCAGGCAUCGCGCCUGCUCGAAGGAGCGCAGGUGGACAAGGACGGCAAGAUUGCCUACGCACAGCUGGUGGCCCUGCUCUCACGACCUCCCCCGAAGAAGCGGGCGCCUGCCGAGGUCACGUAAAGUCUCAAAGAGAUACAGCGAACAGUGUGUGGUGGUGGUGAUGGUGGGGAGAGAACUGGUCAUGGCAGGUCGGUGCCGUAAUGAAAAGAGUGAGGCGUCGUGGAUGCAGAGCCGUGCCAAGCUGAUGAGCAAGCGGGGGCGUCCGAGACGAUCAAGGUACCCACGCACGAACAAAGAAGUAGAAGAGGAGGAGGUAGAGGAAGAGAGAGAGAGAGCAUCAGUCGGUGCGUUAUCGUCGCCCACCCUCUCCCGUUCUCUCCCGUUCUCUCCCUCUCUCUUGGUGUUGCGAUACCUUGGCGCCCUGCAAGAUGCACGGCAUCUGAUGCCAAAGAUGCGUCUCUGUGUGUGGGGUGGGGGGAGGGAGGACGGGAUGAGUAACCUGGCGUCGGAGACGUACCGCUGCCUACUGCUGUCGUAUUGCUCCUCCCUUCCCCUUCCCUCACGCUGCACGCCGUCCCGCCACGUACCCGCCCCAAAAGUACGUACCGAGCGGGAAGCAGAACAGAGGAGCGGCACACCGGCGAGCGCGCAGGCGCGAGGAUCGCCAGUGGCUCUGCGCCUGUGCUUCGGUGCGUCGAGCCAACGUCGUUCUCCCACCCCUCUCCCGCUUUAUCUCAGAGUCCUCAGUCUCUCGCCGUUUCUUUCUCCUAG